CAGCAGGAGACUCGCUGGACACAUGUGAAGGUGCUCGUUGGAGGCCGGCUGAUCACAGAAAACCAGAUGUGGCCAUCACGGAAAUCCUUUGCCGUUUUCAUGAAGAACAGAUUACUGCAGAAUAUGCAAUGUGGAUAAGGUUUCAUUCCAAUACUUGCACUGGGCAGCAAUGGAAGUGACAGUCACAGUGGCAUUGACAGAUUUAACCCCUGCUUCUACAAUGGGCCUCACCACAAGGUAAUGCACCCCAACUUUUCCUGUCAAAUCAUUGGGACCCAGGACCCAGGUGUAUCUCUCUGUACCCAAAAUAAACACAACACAAGCACAUUUAUCUUUCUAAACACUCAGUGUUGUUGGUUCAUUAUGCUUCACAAUAGUUCUAUGUCUGCCAUUUACAAGAAGUCAGUUCAGGAGGUUGAUCACCUUGUGAAUUGCCUUGAUGAGGCAUCUGCGUCUUGGCUACAUAUUGCUUGUCCUUUGGGUAGUCUUUAUGCCCCAGCAACAGUACAAAUGGUAUGUCCUCUGAGGGCUCCAUCUUUAGCACCAGUGUUAUGUCUGGUGAAGGGACGUCAAUCAUCAGUGUGCUGUAGUUUCCCAGUUCAAGGAUUGUGCUGUUUACCUGCCCGCCUUCAAGUCUCGGCAAAAGGAUCUGAGAAUCAUAGAAGAUGUUGUAAUAUAUACAACUGUAAUCAUAAUUCUGUCUACUUGAUCAUAUAGUCUUUAAAGUAUAUGUCUUGGACAUUAUCUUAGAAGAUAUACUGUACGUCUUGGACAUCAAGGGCUCUCAAGAGAAAAGCCCCACUAAAAUUGGUACACGUUUGCAGCGUUCUGACCUCAAUUUCUUCAGACAGGUUGUCCACAGGGAUGGCUGAUCCAUCCUGUCUGGUGAGUGUCACAGACCCCAUGGCACCACUGAUGUUACCCCCCUCACUCCAAGAAUAAGGGUUCUUCUCAAAACUCAGCAUCUGUAAAAAUAAGGAAAUUAUAAGACAAGAGAAUGGAGGGUUAAAACCGUCCACAAUAUACUAAUAGACAAUUAUUACAUGAACAAUUAACCAAAUGAAAACCUCCCUAAUGCUUGACACAAAAAAAACAACACUUUCACUGCCGUAUUCACUUCUUUGAUAAAUCCCUCACUAACCUCCACACAUUUACUCGCAGACAUUCACACUUACUCGCACAUCCACUGGUUCCUCUGGAGAAAGGACAUCAGCACCCAGGGGAGGGAAGGAAAAGCUUGCAGAGGAGCUAUCUGGGAUGUUUAUAGACUGCAUCUGAAUGCUAUUUGGAGACAUCCUAAGAGAAGAGAGUGUAUAAUAUACUGUAACUCAAAAUUGAGGCAACUUAACAGGAGCAUUUUGUAUUUGAGAUAUUGUAUUGUAAAUACAAAUGACAUAUUUCAAGUUACAUUUAUGUGACAGGCCUUGCAUUUCUUAUAGUAAUGUUUCCACUCCAACGCUCUGUCUCUUACCUG